GCGAAACAACAAAAAUGCUGAGAACUUUGGCAAUACGCGUGACGUCACAGAUUGCAACUAGGUUUAGACUGUGACGUCAGGAAGUUUCCUAUCCAGUUAUUUUACAAUCCAUGCUGUUGCUGUAAAUGAUAGAAACAUUUCUAAAACCAAACUAAUAAAUAACAUAAAUUUGAGUUAAAACUAUAGCAACAUAACAUAAAUAAAAUUUCCGCCGUGCCAACCAAGCGUAAAAUCAUGUUCUGUUAUAGCUGACACAGAAACAUUGUUGCAAAAAUAUUCAGCCGAGUUGAUGAGAGUUGCAAUCACGCAUUGUUACAGGGACAUUUCACAAAGUAUAACUAUUUGAUGAGUGUUCUAUACUGAAUUAUGUUUUUAUUUUGAGAACAGCUAACCAAGAUCGCGUGCCUGGCUGAUUGCCAAUUCUCAUGCAUCCGCUCUCAUCAUAAUUUGAUCCGAACUUACCAUUAUUAGAUGGGAUAAAGGUAGCAAAAUGUAUUAUUUACCUGAGUAUAAAACUUUUGUAGUGGAAAUAUUAAACAGAAAAUUGUACAGUUUCUUUUGAAGUUCUUAAAUAACUGUGCCUACUUUUCAUAAACAGCUUAUUCUCACCACCUGCUGCAAACAAACACCUGCGCAACAGGUGGGAAAUUUGUCUGAGCAUGCGCGAGCAAAAUGAGCCACGCAAUUGCGUGGAAUACACGCAAUUGCGUGGAAUACACGCAAUUGCGUGGCAUACACGCAACGCGUGUUUACCAAAAGGCACAAUCGUGUAAAUAUUGCCAAAUGUUUGUACAAAAUAAAUUACUGUUUUAUGUUGAAAAUGGACAUGAUCUAAAUUAAUCAUAC